rnacentral:rRNA from 1 species
AUUGAACGCUGGCGGCAGGCCUAACACAUGCAAGUCGAGCGGAGCGGCGGACGGGUGAGUAAUGCCUAGGAAUCUGCCUGGUAGUGGGUGAUAACGUCCGGAAACGGGCGCUAAUACCGCAUACUAUCAGAUGAGCCUAGGUCGGAUUAGCUAGGUGGGGGGGUAAAGGCCGACCAAGGCGACGAUCCGGAACUGGUCUGAGAGGAUGAUCAGUCAACCCGGACAGGAGAAAAGGCACAGACUCCCACGGGCGGGGGGAGUGGGGAAUAUUGGAUAAGUCGAGAAAAGCAUGACCAGACCUGCCGCGUGUGUGAAGAAGGUCUUCGGAUUGUAAAGCACUUCAAGUUGGGAGGCGUUACCAACAGAAUAAGCACCGGCUAACUUCGUGCCAGCAGCCGCGGUAAUUC